rnacentral:rRNA from 1 species
AGAGUUUGAUCCUGGCUCAGGGCGAACGCUGGCGGUGUGCUUCACACAUGCAAGUCGAACGAGGUAGCAAUACCUAGUGGCGGACGGGUGAGUAACGCGUGGGAAUCUGCCUUUAGAUGGGGGAUAACGAGCCGAAAGGUUCGCUAAUACCGCAUAUGCCGCAAGGUGAAAGGAGUAAUCCGUCUAAAGAUGAGCCCGCGUCCGAUUAGCUAGUUGGUGGGGUAAAGGCCUACCAAGGCGACGAUCGGUAGCUGGUCUGAGAGGAUGAUCAGCCACAAUGGGACUGAGACACGGCCCAUACUCCUACGGGAGGCAGCAGUGGGGAAUUUUACGCAAUGGGGGAAACCCUGACGUAGCGACACCGCGUGAGCGAAGAAGCCCCUUGGGGUGUAAAGCUCUGUCAGCUGGAACGAAACAAAUGACGGUACCAGCAGAGGAAGCAUCGGCUAACUACGUGCCAGCAGCCGCGGUAAGACGUAGGAUGCGAGCGUUGUCCGGAUUUAUUGGGCGUAAAGAGUUCGUAGGUGGUUUGUUAAGUUUGAUGUUAAAGAUCGGGGCUCAACCUCGGGACAGCAUUGAAUACUGGCAGACUUGAGUAUGGUAGAGGCUAGUGGAAUUCCCAGUGUAGCGGUGAAAUGCGUAGA